CCCCAAGCUGCUUGCUGCCUUGCGAACGUGGUGUUGACAUGAAAUCAUCCCGUGGGAGGUAGCUAGCCGGGAGAGAUAGCGGCCUUCAGCGCACUCUUGAAGUCUGCAAGGGCAUAAGGCUUGCGUUUGAUGCGCUGGGUUACAGAU
rnacentral:snoRNA from 1 species